rnacentral:rRNA from 1 species
AUUGAACGCUGGCGGCAGGCUUAACACAUGCAAGUCGAGCGGAGAUGAGGUGCUUGCACCUUAUCUUAGCGGCGGACGGGUGAGUAAUGCUUAGGAAUCUGCCUAUUAGUGGGGGACAACAUUCCGAAAGGAAUGCUAAUACCGCAUACGUCCUACGGGAGAAAGCAGGGGAUCUUCGGACCUUGCGCUAAUAGAUGAGCCUAAGUCGGAUUAGCUAGUGGGUGGGGUAAAGGCCUACCAAGGCGACGAUCUGUAGCGGGUCUGAGAGGAUGACCCGCCACACUGGGACGGAGACACGGCCCAGACUACUACGGGAGGCAUCAGUGGGGAAUAUUGGACAAUGGGGGGAACCCUGAUCCAGCCAUGCCGCGUGUGUGAAGAAGGCCUUAUGGUUGUAAAGCACUUUAAGCGAGGAGGAGGCUACUGAGACUAAUACUCUUGGAUAGUGGACGUUACUCGCAGAAUAAGCACCGGCUAACUCUGUGCCAGCCGCCGCCGUAA